rnacentral:lncRNA from 10 species
UUCGAGAAUGGGACAUGGAAUGAGGCGACGGCCCCAGCAAGCCCCAGCAGCCCCAGCCCCAGCCCCAGGCCCAGCAGCAGCAGCAGCAGCCCCUGCUCUCCCGCCGCCCGGAGAGGCUCUGCAGCCAUGAAGCCAACCGUCCCGAGGUAAUCGCAGGGCUGGAAGCCCGUCAUCGAUUCUCAGGGAGGCUGUCAGCGUGCAGGGGGGAGCGGGGAGUGUCGUGGAGACACUCCGGGACCCCUCACUCGGUUCCGCUGUGCGUCCACUUAGCUGUGGUGUCAGCUGUGUCUCCGCUGAUUUCAGGCACCGCCGGUAAGCAGGGAGCCUCCGCGGAGCUCCCGCCGCCGCUCCCCCUUGGCGCCAAAGGCACCCGGUCCCGGAGCAGCCACGCGCGGCCCGUGAGCCUCGCCACCAGCGGGGGCUCAGAGGAGGAGGACAAAGACGGCGGGGUGCUGUUCCACGUCAACAAGAGCGGCUUCCCCAUCGACAGCCACACCUGGGAGCGCAUGUGGAUGCACGUGGCCAAGGUGCACCCUAAGGGGGGAGAAAUGGUGGGCGCCAUCAGGAACGCCGCCUUCUUG